AUACGGAGGGUGCAAGCGUUAAUCGGAAUUACUGGGCGUAAAGAGUACGUAGGUGGUUUGUUAAGUCAGAUGUGAAAGCCCCGGGCUCAACCUGGGAACUGCGUUUGAAACUGGCAAACUAGAGUAUGGUAGAGGGGGGUAGAAUUUUUAGUGUAGUGGUGAAAUGCGUAGAUAUUAGAAGGAAUACCAGUGGCGAAGGCGGCCCCCUGGACCAAUACUGACACUGAGGUACGAAAGCGUGGGUAGCGAACAGGAUUAGAUACCCUAGUAGUCC
rnacentral:rRNA from 1 species